CUUAUAAAGAGUGGUUGAGGGAAUGGGCCCGAUGAAACCCGACAACCGGAACCUUCCGGUGCCAAAUCCCACGGCUUUGCCGACAGAUAAGG
rnacentral:ncRNA from 2 species